rnacentral:lncRNA from 1 species
AAUAUAAAUAAACUAAAUUGGAGUUAGUACUCAAGAAUUAAUGUUACAGACGUACAAAGAACGCGGUUAUGCAUAAAAAUUAAUGUUAUGCUCAUUUAGGCACAUCAUCAAUAUGUGUUAUAUGUUGCUAGCUAGGAGCAGGGAGGUGAAAGGAUGGCCAAUCAAUGGCUGAAUUAGAAUCGUAAUAAUAACUAUCUUCUUGAACCAACUACUGUUAUCUUUGCUCUAAUAUACGAUCUAAUGGCAAAAACAAACAAUGUGAUUUUAUGCGUGUCUUGCCCUGCAAAAGCUAAUUAAUGACCCUUCGUGGCCGUGAGUAAACAAUAGCAGAUUAACGAAUAAUUAGCGACCCUCUUGAUGAUCUUGCAUCUGAAAUUUCCUUGCAAGAGGGAAAUCAAACCAAACCAAACCAAAUCAAAGCUGUUAAUUAAAGUCACAGCUAGCUAGCUAGCUCGAUGGAAAUGGCAGCAUCCAUAUCAAUGCGUUAAUUCCUCCCCUCUUCGCCGGCGAGCUGUUCCUUCGAUCGAUCUCCUCGAUCUGUCCGCCGCUGCAUGCAUCGAUCGAUCUGCCGUUACGUCCUCGAACGAGAGAGAUUGCUCGCUCGAUCGAUCGAUCGUUACCCACCGAAAUGAAGGCUAAGUAACGCACAUCUGCAUGCAGCUGGCUCUGGCUGUGGCUGGCUGGCUACCACCGGUUAACCGCGAGGCUAGCUGGCUAGACUGAAUUAAGCCCUGAGAACUAGGAGAAACCGAUGCAAUCUGGCCAUCAUUUUGCAGAGUUAAUACUGCCCCAGCUAAUUAAGCUUCCGUUUUACUCCAGCUUUAAUUUAGCUUUGUAUUGUUAUGAUUUAUGAGGCUUUCUUGCUUCCAAGGUGCAUGCAUGAUGCAUGUUACAUGCAGCCUGUGCUACUAGCUAUGAAUUAGCUGCUCAUUUUGUGCUGCAAUUAUAUAGUGGCG